rnacentral:rRNA from 1 species
CUACGGGGGGCAGCAGUGGGGAAUAUUGCACAAUGGACGAAAGUCUGAUGCAGCAACGCCGCGUGGAGGAUGACACAUUUCGGUGCGUAAACUCCUUUUAUAUAAGAAGAUAAUGACGGUAUUAUAUGAAUAAGCACCGGCUAACUCCGUGCCAGCAGCCGCGGUAAUACGGGGGGUGCAAGCGUUACUCGGAAUCACUGGGCGUAAAGCGCAUGUAGGCGGACUUGUAAGUUGGAAGUGAAAUCCUAUGGCUCAACCAUAGAACUGCUUCCAAAACUGCUUGUCUAGAAUAUGGGAGAGGUAGAUGGAAUUUCUGGUGUAGGGGUAAAAUCCGUAGAGAUCAGAAGGAAUACCGAUUGCGAAGGCGAUCUACUGGAACAUUAUUGACGCUCAGAUGCGAAAGCGUGGGGAGCAAACAGGAUUAGAUACCCUAGUAGUC